rnacentral:rRNA from 1 species
CCUACGGGAGGCAGCGGUGGGGAAUUUUGGACAAUGGGCGCAAGCCUGAUCCAGCAAUGCCGCGUGCAGGAUGAAGGCCUUCGGGUUGUAAACUGCUUUUGUACGGAACGAAACGGCGAGCUCUAAUAAAGUUUGCUAAUGACGGUACCGUAAGAAUAAGCACCGGCUAACUACGUGCCAGCAGCCGCGGUAAUACGUAGGGUGCGAGCGUUAAUCGGAAUUACUGGGCGUAAAGCGUGCGCAGGCGGUUAUAUAAGACAGAUGUGAAAUCCCCGGGCUCAACCUGGGACCUGCAUUUGUGACUGUAUAGCUAGAGUACGGUAGAGGGGGAUGGAAUUCCGCGUGUAGCAGUGAAAUGCGUAGAUAUGCGGAGGAACACCGAUGGCGAAGGCAAUCCCCUGGACCUGUACUGACGCUCAUGCACGAAAGCGUGGGGAGCAAACAGGAUUAGAUACCCUGGUAGUCCACGCCCUAAACGAUGUCAACUGGUUGUUGGGUCUUCACUGACUCAGUACGAAGCUAACGCGNGAGUGACGCGNGGAGGUAACGGUCGCGAGUUAGUAAGUUAAGUUAGAGUUGNGNGNGAGAGNGCGAGCGACGACGAGGAGGAGG